UGGGGAAUUUUGGACAAUGGACGCAAGUCUGAUCCAGCCAUGCCGCGUGCGGGAAGAAGGCCUUCGGGUUGUAAACCGCUUUUGUCAGGGAAGAAACGAGUUUCUCUAAUACAGAGACUUAAUGACGGUACCUGAAGAAGAAGCACCGGCUAACUACGUGCCAGCAGCCGCGGUAAUACGUAGGGUGCGAGCGUUAAUCGGAAUUACUGGGCGUAAAGCGUGCGCAGGCGGUGAUGUAAGACAGAUGUGAAAUCCCCGGGCUCAACCUGGGAACUGCAUUUGUGACUGCAUAGCUGGAGUGCGGCAGAGGGGGAUGGAAUUCCGCGUGUAGCAGUGAAAUGCGUAGAUAUGCGGAGGAACACCGAUGGCGAAGGCAAUCCCCUGGGCCUGCACUGACGCUCAUGCACGAAAGCGUGGGGAGCAAACA
rnacentral:rRNA from 1 species